rnacentral:rRNA from 1 species
AGAGUUUGAUCCUGGCUCAGAACGAACGCUGGCGGCAGGCUUAACACAUGCAAGUCGAGCGCACUCUUCGGAGUGAGCGGCGGACGGGUUAGUAACGCGUGGGAACGUGCCCUUCUCUAAGGAAUAGCCACUGGAAACGGUGAGUAAUACCUUAUACGCCCUUCGGGGGAAAGAUUUAUCGGAGAAGGAUCGGCCCGCGUUAGAUUAGAUAGUUGGUGGGGUAAUGGCCUACCAAGUCUACGAUCUAUAGCUGGUUUUAGAGGAUGAUCAGCAACACUGGGACUGAGACACGGCCCAGACUCCUACGGGAGGCAGCAGUGGGGAAUCUUGGACAAUGGGCGCAAGCCUGAUCCAGCCAUGCCGCGUGAGUGAUGAAGGCCUUAGGGUCGUAAAGCUCUUUCGCCAGAGAUGAUAAUGACAGUAUCUGGUAAAGAAACCCCGGCUA